rnacentral:rRNA from 1 species
UACGAAGGGUGCAAGCGUUACUCGGAAUUACUGGGCGUAAAGCGUGCGUAGGCGGUUUGUUAAGUCUGUCGUGAAAGCCCCGGGCUCAACCUGGGAAUGGCGAUGGAAACUGGCGAGCUAGAGUACGGUAGAGGAUGGUGGAAUUCCCAGUGUAGAGGUGAAAUUCGUAGAUAUUGGGAAGAACACCGAUGGCGAAGGCAGCCAUCUGGACCGACACUGACGCUGAGGCGCGAAAGCGUGGGGAGCAAACAGG